CUCCGAGAUAAGAUACACACACAGAGACAGGAGAUACAACGACGUGCUGAGGCAGCUGGAGCAGUCACCGAGGAUAAACACAUACCGAAACUGAGGAAGCUGACCUGUUCUACUCUCUCCCAUGACAACACAUACCUGAGGUCUCUUCCUCAAACCAGCUACUACCUGAUCUUGGGCCUUCGGAACCAGUUGUCUCGGCAUGGUUGUUUGAAGACCCUCCAGGACCAAGAGGACUUCUGUUUUAUGGUUAACCA